GAUGAACGCUCGCGGCAGGCCUAACACAUGCAAGUCGAGGGAGAAGCCCUUUCGGGGGCAGAAACCGGCGCACGGGUGCGUAACGCGUAUGCAACCUACCUUUCACAGGGGGAUAGCCCGAAGAAAUUUGGAUUAAUACCCCAUAAUAUUAUUGUAUGUCAUCAUUUGAUAAUUAAAACUGCGGUGGUGAAAGAUGGGCAUGCGUCCUAUUAGCUAGUUGGAGUGGUAACGGCACCCCAAGGCUACGAUAGGUAGGGGUCCUGAGAGGGAGAUCCCCCACAAUGGUACUGAGACAGGGACCAGAAUCCUACGGGAGGCAGCAGUGAGGAAUAUUGGUGAAGGGUCGGAAGACGGAACCAGCCAUGCCGCGUGCAGGAAGAAUGCCUUAUGGGUUGUAAACUGCUUUUAUAGGGGAAGAAUAAGGUGUACGUGUACAUUGAUGACGGUACCAUAUGAAUAAGCAUCGGCUAACUCCGUG
rnacentral:rRNA from 1 species